rnacentral:rRNA from 1 species
GAUCCUGGCUCAGGAUGAACGCUGGCGGCGUGCUUAACACAUGCAAGUCGAACGAAGCACUUUAUUUGAUUUCCUUCGGGACUGAUUAUUUUGUGACUGAGUGGCGGACGGGUGAGUAACGCGUGGGUAACCUGCCUUGUACAGGGGGAUAACAGUUGGAAACGGCUGCUAAUACCGCAUAAGCGCACGGCAUCGCAUGAUGCAGUGUGAAAAACUCCGGUGGUAUAAGAUGGACCCGUCG